GACGUAGGGUGCGAGCGUUACGUCCGGAUUUGAUUGGGCGUAAAGAGCUCGUAGGCGGCUCGUCGCGUCGACCGUGAAAACCCACAGCUUAACCUGUGGGCUUGCGGUUGAUACGGGCGGGCUAGAGUUCGGUAGGGGAGACUGGAAUUCCUGGUGUAGCGGUGAAAUGACGCAGAUAUCAGGAGGAACACCGAUGGCGAAGGCAGGUCUCUGGGCAUUAACUGACGCUGAGGAGCGAAAGCAUGGGGAGCGAACAGG
rnacentral:rRNA from 1 species